rnacentral:rRNA from 1 species
UAGGGAAUCUUCCGCAAUGGACGCAAGUCUGACGGAGCAACGCCGCGUGAGUGAAGAAGGAUUUCGGUUCGUAAAACUCUGUUGUUAGAGAAGAACAGCGCAUAGAGUAACUGUUAUGCGUGUGACGGUAUCUAACCAGAAAGCCACGGCUAACUACUUGCCAGCAGCCGUGGUAAUACGUAGGUGGCAAGCGUUGUCCGGAUUUAUUGGGCGUAAAGCGAGCGCAGGCGGUCAAUUAAGUCUGAUGUGAAAGCCCCCGGCUCAACCGGGGAGGGUCAUUGGAAACUGAUUGACUUGAGUGCAGAAGAGGAGAGUGGAAUUCCAUGUGUAGCGGUGAAAUGCGUAGAUAUAUGGAGGAACACCAGUGGCGAAGGCGACUCUCUGGUCUGUAACUGACGCUGAGGCUCGAAAGCGUGGGUAGCAAACAGG